CCCCCCCCCCCCUCUCUCUCUCUCUCUUAAAAUUUCGUGACGAAGAAUUCUCCCCUGCGAUUGAUCCCUGGAUCGAUGGAGUCCAAACUCGAUCAUUCCACCUGAGUCGGCGGUAUUCCAACCCCACGAUGGCCAAGAAUUCUUUCAAGUUGGAGCAUCCCCUUGUUAGAUAGAUAUAUAUAUUCGGAAGAUGAUAGGGUCGCAGGGGUGGUUUUCAAACACCUUCGGAAGAGGAUUAAGCUGGGUGCAGACAGAGAAGGCCAUCUUCGUUUUUGUCAAGAACACAUUGUCACCUACAGCUGCAUUGAUGUCUGCCAUCUACGAGGAACACAAAGACGAAGAUGGUUUUCUUUACAUGACCUCUACAGCGGCGAGAGAACACAUUUGGCUCCUCCUAAGAUGCAGGAGCCAUCCUUGUAGAUAAAAAUCAUGGAAAGUUUAGCAUCCUUGUAGAUAAAAUUCAUGGGGAAUAUUAUCGAAGUUCAUGGCCA